rnacentral:rRNA from 1 species
AAUCUGGAGACAGGUGCUGCAUGGCUGUCGUCAGCUCGUGUCGUGAGAUGUUGGGUUAAGUCCCGCAACGAGCGCAACCCUUGCCUUUAGUUGCCAGCAGUUCGGCUGGGCACUCUAAAGGGACUGCCGGUGUUAAACCGGAGGAAGGUGGGGAUGACGUCAAGUCCUCAUGGCCUUUAUGACCAGGGCUACACACGUACUACAAUGGCCGAUACAAAGGGCAGCGACACUGCGAGGUGAAGCCAAUCCCGUAAAAUCGGUCUCAGUCCGGAUUGGAGUCUGCAACUCGACUCCAUGAAGUUGGAAUCGCUAGUAAUCGUGGAUCAGCAUGCCACGGUGAAUACGUUCCGGGCCUU